GACGUAGGGCGCAAGCGUUGUCCGGAAUUAUUGGGCGUAAAGAGCUCGUAGGCGGCCUGUUGCGUCCGCUGUGAAAUCCCGGGGCUUAACCCCGGGCGUGCAGUGGAUACGGGCAGGCUGGAGGCAGGCAGGGGAGAACGGAAUUCCCGGUGUAGCGGUGAAAUGCGCAGAUAUCGGGAGGAACACCGGUGGCGAAGGCGGUUCUCUGGGCCUGUACUGACGCUGAGGAGCGAAAGCGUGGGGAGCGAACAGG
rnacentral:rRNA from 1 species